CAGUAAACUAACGGAAAAUGUAACUGGAAAAACUCAAACCAAAGCAAGAUAAACAAGGGUAAUGUGGAGUGAUGGGCACAGGACAACAGUUUGUGACAGAAUGAAGACAAACACCACCACUGAAGCAGUCCUGGAAACCAAAUACCUAACUAUACAGAGCGGGCCAUCAAUCCGGGAGCUACAGACUCUAAGCUAGGUGUGGCGGUGAUUGCUGAACAUCCUGGAAGUCUUACUAGGAUAUGAGCCAGCUUUAUCUGCAGGUGAGGAAUCACAGACGGAUCACUCGUUGCUUGAAUAAGAGAAUUCAGCCUGUUGCAAAUCUUUUCUCAGAAA